GCUGAGUGUGGUGGUGCAUACCUGUAAUCCCAGCUGCUUGGGAGGCUGAGGCAGGAGAAUGCUGAAUUCAAGGCCAAACUAGGCAAUUUAACAGGAUCCUAUCUCAA
rnacentral:sRNA from 1 species